CACGGAAGGAGUCGGCGGCCGAAACGGGGACCACCCAAGGGACAGGGAAACUGAGUCCUCCUAGGAAGCGGCAUUUGUAUAAAAAAAGCCUCUUCCACCGCUUUCCCUUCCGGGUUAGCGAGUGCUCACUUCCUCCCGAAGGUGAAGCUCUUGGCGCCAUCUUGGAAGAAGGCAAGAGGGGAGGGAGGGCGGUUGGCAGGGCGAGCUGAGUUUGGAGCGCGGCGAAAGUGAUGGAAGAAAAGCCGGCUUCUGGAUGCCAAGUCUUGCCUCUCGUGUGACCCUGGACGAGUCUCCUAGGAGAGCAGCUGGUGCGAGAAUCAGCCAGACAUGAAUUCGAUUCUGUGUGUGAGACCUUGGGCAAAUCACUUUAACUUCUCUGAGCCUCAGUUUUUCCCCUCUCUGAAAUGGAGAUAAUAAUAGCACCUAUCACACAAGGUUAUGGUGAAGGGAAAUAAAGCUUUUCCUGUGUUAAAAUGC